AGUGAACGUUGGCGGCGUGGAUUAGGCAUGCGAGUCGAGCGAGAACCGUAGCAAUACGGGGACAGCGGCGAAAGGGACAGUAAUAUGUAGGUACCUACCCUCGGGUCCGGGAUAGCUGCGGGAAACUGCAGGUAAUACCGGAUGACAUCUCCGGAUCAAAGGUGUGAUUCCGCCCGGGGAGGGGCCUGCAUCCUAUUAGCUUGUUGGCGGGGUAACGGCCCACCAAGGCGACGAUGGGUAGCGGGUGUGAGAGCACGACCCGCGUCAUUGGGACUGAGACACUGCCCAGACACCUACGGGUGGCUGCAGUCGAGAAUCUUCGGCAAUGGGGGAAACCCUGACCGAGCGACGCCGCGUGCGGGAUGAAGGCCUUCGGGUUGUAAACCGCUGUCGUAGAGGAGGAAAUGCAGGGGGGUUCUCCCCUCUGUUUGACUUAUUCUAGGAGGAAGGACGGGCUAAGUUCGUGCCAGCAGCCGCAGUAAAAC
rnacentral:rRNA from 1 species